GAUGAAGAACGCAGCGAAAUGCGAUACGUAGUGUGAAUUGCAGAAUUCAGUGAAUCAUCGAAUCUUUGAACGCACAUUGCACCUCUCGGUAUUCCGGGAGGUAUGCCUGUUCGAGCGUCAUUUGUACCCUCAAGCUCUGCUUGGUGUUGGGUGUUUGUUCCGCCUCUGUGUGUGAACUCGCCUCAAAACAAUUGGCAGCCGUCGUACUUGUUUCGGAGCGCAGCACAUUUUGCGAUCCAGAUCAACGUACAGCGGCAUCCAAGAAGCCUUAUUUAACGCUCUUGACCUCGGAUCAGGUAGGGAUACCCGCUGAACUUAAGCAUAUCAAUAAGCGGAGGA
rnacentral:misc_RNA from 1 species